ACAGCAUGGCCAGUGCUCCGACAAGUCCUCCAUUCGGAGCUCAUCAUGGAAGUUUCUAGAAGAAAGUCGCUAGUAAGACCAUGAGGGACGUAUGCAAAAGCGAAUGAGGCAUGAGGAGGUCCAUCGAUCGACAUGCAACGAGGGGACGAUCAUCAAUGUCUCAUGCAAAAGAGGCAGAGAUGAAAUCAGCUCAUGCCCCUUUUUUCUAUGGAAAAAAAUAUUGAUUUUCUCUUAUUUUAUUUGAUUUUGUUUUAGUCAGAGUAUAUAUAACCAAAUCAAAUCAAAUCAAUCCAUUUUGAUGUUUAGUU